GAUGAACGCUGGCGGCGUGCCUAAUACAUGCAAGUCGAGCGAACGGACGAGAAGCUUGCUUCUCUGAUGUUAGCGGCGGACGUGUGAGUAACACGUGUAUAACCUACCUAUAAUACUGGGAUAACUUCGGGAAACCGGAGCUAAUACCGGAUAAUAUUUUGAACCGCAUGGUUCAAAAGUGAAAGACGGUCUUGCUGUCACUUAUAGAUGGAUCCGCGCUGCAUUAGCUAGUUGGUAAGGUAACGGCUUACCAAGGCAACGAUGCAUAGCCGACCUGAGAGGGUGAUCGGCCACACUGGAACUGGGCCGCGGUCCAGACUCCUACGGGAGGCAGCAGUAGGGAAUCUUCCGCAAUGGGCGAAAGCCUGACGGAGCAACGCCGCGUGAGUGAUGAAGGUCUUCGGAUCGUAAAACUCUGUUAUUAGGGAAGAACAUAUGUGUAAGUAACUGUGCACAUCUUGACGGUACCUAAUCAGAAAGCCACGGCUAACUACGUG
rnacentral:rRNA from 1 species